CUCAUUUGCAAUUUAAACUUAUUCUGAGCUAAAUGGAAUUUCCUUAAAUCACAGACACACAGUUUGCUGAAGAAUAUAUUGAUUCUUGUGUUUUGGGGUGUGGACAUUGCGAUAAUUUUCAUUAACCCCAUACUUAAGCUCCUCUUGUCUUCAUAUUGUGAGUGGUGCAAAUAUUGUAAAGUUGUGUAAACUUGUUUGAUGUUUUUC